rnacentral:rRNA from 1 species
UGCCCUGCACGUCUAAGUAUAAACGCCAUACUGCGAAACUGCGAACGGCUCAUUAAAACAGUUAUAGUUUAUUUGGUAAUCGAACUACAUGGAUAACCGUGGUAAUCCUAGAGCUAAUACAUGCCGUAACGCCCGACUUUUGGAAGGGCCGUAUUUAUUAUAUACACAACCAAUAAGACUCUGUUCUCACCUGUGGUGAAUCAUAGUAACUGAUCGGAUCGCAAGCAAGCCCUGCGACAAACCAUUCAAGUUUCUGCCCCAUCAGCUUACGAUGGUAGUGUAUUGGACUACCAUGGCUUUUACGGGUAACGGAGGAUUAGGGUUCGAUUCCGGAGAGGGAGCCUGAGAAACGGCUACCACAUCUAAGGAAGGCAGCAGGCGCGUAAAUUACCCAAUCCUGACUCAGGGAGGUAGUGACAAGAAAUAGCGGGUCUGAGUUUAACUCCGGUACUGAAAUGAGACUAAUUUACACCCCUUAUCGAGGACCAAUUGGAGGGCAA